rnacentral:rRNA from 1 species
GAACGCUGGCGGCGUGCCUAAUACAUGCAAGUAGAACGCUGAAGAGAGGAGCUUGCUCUUCUUGGAUGAGUUGCGAACGGGUGAGUAACGCGUAGGUAACCUGCCUUGUAGCGGGGGAUAACUAUUGGAAACGAUAGCUAAUACCGCAUAACAAUGGAUGACACAUGUCAUUUAUUUGAAAGGGGCAAUUGCUCCACUACAAGAUGGACCUGCGUUGUAUUAGCUAGUAGGUGAGGUAAUGGCUCACCUAGGCGACGAUACAUAGCCGACCUGAGAGGGUGAUCGGCCACACUGGGACUGAGACACGGCCCAGACUCCUACGGGAGGCAGCAGUAGGGAAUCUUCGGCAAUGGGGGCAACCCUGACCGAGCAACGCCGCGUGAGGGAAGAAGGGUUUCGGAUCGUAAAGCUCUGUUGUAAGUCAAGAACGGGUGUGAGAGUGGAAAGUUCACACUGUGACGGUAGCUUACCAGAAAGGGACGGCUAACUACGUG